rnacentral:rRNA from 1 species
UACGGAGGAUCCGAGCGUUAUCCGGAUUUAUUGGGUUUAAAGGGUGCUCAGGCGGGGGAUUAAGUCGGCGGUGAAAUUUUGCAGCUCAACUGUAAAAGUGCCUUCGAAACUGGUUUCCUUGAGUGUGGAUGAGGUAGGCGGAAUUUGUGGUGUAGCGGUGAAAUGCAUAGAUAUCACGAGGAACUCCGAUUGCGCAGGCAGCUUACUAAACCAUAACUGACGCUCAAGCACGAAGGCGUGGGGAUCAAACAGGAUUAGAUACCCUGGUAGUCCACGCAGUAAACGAUGAUUACUGGCUGUUUGCGAUAUAAUGUAAGCGGCUGAGCGAAAGCGUUAAGUAAUCCACCUGGGGAGUACGUUCGCAAGAAUGAA